CUUUAUCUCAACUCAAGGGUUUCCUCACUUUUUCCUCCUUCCAUUUCUCUCCCAGGUCCUGCUGUGAAGCUGGGUGGGACUGAAGUGGCUCAACACAGCACUCUUGGGAACAGCACCUUAGACAUGCUGUAAUAUGCAUUCAGUACAGAAGGAGCAUUGCCAUCUUGCUGAAGUUCAGCACUGCAGCACCUACUUCAUGUCUAACAUAUUUGGGAAUUACAAAUUGCCUGACACUCCCCAAGAGCAUUGAAUGCAGUACAGAUCUGGAGGGGAAAGGAUGCUUUUCAUAAUGUGGACAUGAACACUUCUGAAUACUCAGACAGAAAGCCUGUCUCUGUAUGAAGGAGAGGAAUCCUUUUCAUUAGCACAUUUAAGUACAGACUUACCCCAGCAGUCAGAUCACUGCCCUGCCACACUUCACAUUUUAAAGACCAUGUAGGAUAUGCUAGCAUGAUAUUACUAUAGUUUUUUUUUGAAGAAGAUUUUCUUCCUGUGGUCCAUUUUAUCUUUGCCAGUUAUAAGUUGUUUCAAUCUGGAGUUGACUGACUGCAGCUCCUGAGGCACACCAGCUGCCAUGCUGCAGUGCAGCACCGACCUCUGUGUUCUGGAUGACUCCAACAGAACUGUUUGAGUAAUUUGACAUUAAAAUAAUGUUCAGUGACUCUGUCAUUUUCAACCAAUUUCCUGAAUAAUUUCAAAUCUAUUAAUAUACAGGAAACUGCUGCUUGACAAAGGUUGGAUUCUGUGAAUGCAGGAGUGCCAGUUAAUUUUUAACUUCCCUUAUUAUCUGAAAUGAAACCUGAUAUGACAGACUCAUUUUCAGUACCAGAUAGUGAGGAAGAUGGAAGCAGUGGACACAACUGACAUCCUUGUCUGAAAAAUUUCAGUAAUCUUUUAUUUUCCUUGUAGUCCUAUUUUUACAUGAAAAAAAGAAAGCUAAGCUAAAAAUAUAAUGCUACUGCACCAGGCUUAGGAGACUUUUCUCCAAAAACUCACAGAAAUUCAGGAGAAGAAAUCUGAUUUUGAACAGGAAUUUUGCCUUUACAUUUAUAGUUUAUUAACUGAGCCUGUUGAUUACAGUUACAAAAAGCCCAGCAAUAUUUUCUUUCUUUAUCAGGUUUGGCUGGAAUUAAAACAAAAGAGCUAACUGAUCUGUAAUAGUCACAAUCUAGAUCUUGUUACUGCUUCUUUUAAUGUUGUCUCCAUUUUUGUUUUCAUGGUUUUACCUAAUGACAACAUUGAAUAACAAAAACAGCCAAUGUAUAGCCUGACACUUUAAGGUGCUGAACUCCCU
rnacentral:lncRNA from 1 species